UACGAAGGGGGCUAGCGUUGCUCGGAAUCACUGGGCGCAAAGGGUGCGUAGGCGGGUCUUUAAGUCAGGGGUGAAAUCCUGGAGCUCAACUCCAGAACUGCCUUUGAUACUGAAGAUCUUGAGUUCGGGAGAGGUGAGUGGAACUGCGAGUGUAGAGGUGAAAUUCGUAGAUAUUCGCAAGAACACCAGUGGCGAAGGCAGCUAACUACGCGAUAAUUGACGCUGAUGCACGAAAGCGUGGGGAUCAAACAGG
rnacentral:rRNA from 1 species